AGGACGAACGCUGGCGGCGUGCCUAACACAUGCAAGUCGAACGGGGUCCAUGAGAGCUUGCUCUCGGAAGACCUAGUGGCGAACGGGUGAGUAACACGUGAGAAACCUGCCUCGGAGUGGGGAAUAACUCGGGGAAACUCGAGCUAAUACCGCAUACCUUCAGAUGAUCGCAUGGUCGACUGAAGAAAGAAUUUCGCUCUGAGAGGGUCUCGCGGCCUAUCAGCUUGUUGGUGGGGUAACGGCCCACCAAGGCAACGACGGGUAGCUGGAUUGAGAGAUCGAUCAGCCACACUGGAACUGAGACACGGUCCAGACUCCUACGGGAGGCAGCAGUGGGGAAUCUUGCGCAAUGGGCGAAAGCCUGAACCGCAGCAACGCCGCGUGCGGGAUGACGGCCUUCGUGGUUGUAAACCGCUUUCAGCAGGGACGAAAAUGACGGUACCUGCAGAAGAAGCCCCGGCUAACUACGUGCCAGCCGCCGC
rnacentral:rRNA from 1 species